GGCGGUUCUCCGGUGACACACCCCAGAAUCAGGCUUCCUCCUCUCUGGUUCCGGGUACAUCACCUGAGAACCGCA
rfam:Myotis brandtii contig183171, whole genome shotgun sequence.